UACGGGGGGGCAAGCGUUGUCGGAAUUAUUGGGCGUAAAGGGCGCGUAGGCGGUGCGGCAAGUCUCCUGUGAAAUCUCCGGGCUCAACUCGGAGUCUGCAGGAGAAACUGCCGUGCUUGAGUGUGGGAGAGGUGAGUGGAAUCCCGGUGUAGCGGUGAAAUGGCGUAGAUAUCGGGAGGAACACCUGUGGCGAAAGGCGGCUCACU
rnacentral:rRNA from 1 species